UUGAAGGAUUUGUAAGAAAUGUUUGAGAGGGAACUAACUUGGUGUUAAACACUGACUCAGUUUCCUCAAACAUUUCUUACAAAUCCUUCAA